CGGGGAGUGGCGCAGUUUGGUAGCGCGCCUGCUUCGGGAGCAGGAGGUCGCAGGUUCAAAUCCUGUCUCUCCGACCA
rnacentral:tRNA from 1 species